rnacentral:lncRNA from 1 species
CAUGGAGCGCAAGCUGACGGUGCAGCAUGGCGCACAGCGGAGGCCGCGGGCGGCCGAACCCGGCGUGUCCUUGGGCUCUUCCAGGUGCAACAAAACCGGUCUCAUUUGAAGGUGCUUGAACAAAUAUUUUCUAAAAACUUGUCAUGGAGAGUGAUUGAAACAAGCUACCAGGACUACAUUUGCCAAUAGCAAGCAUGGAGGUGGCUGUAGUGGAUGUCCAGCUUUGGGAGCUGCGAUUCCUAAAGACCCUUUAUUGUUUUGGGUAAGUUUGCUUGAUCAGUCAUGUAUCUGGAUUCGGUAAUGUUUGAUAACACUGAGGGACUGGAGCCAGUUCGUUUUGAAGAUCAUUAGGGUGAACACCUGGGCCUAGUUUGAGAUGGAAGAAAAAUGAUUUUGGGUUUCUGACUGUUUUUUUUUCUUUUGGGAAGGUGCAGCUUACAUAUUGGAAGGUAAAACGAAGACCAUGAACAAAGUCAAGAAACCAUGAACAGAAGCAAUUGGUGAAAAUUAAUAUUUAAUUUAAUAUUAAUAAGUUAUAUAUAAAUAAACAGUUAUUCUU